GAUGAACGCUAGCGGCAGGCUUAAUACAUGCAAGUCGAACGGCAUCCAGUGCUUCGGCGCUGGAGCGAGUGGCGGAUGGGUGAGUAACACGUACAUAACAUACCCUAUAUUGGAGUAUAGCAUUGGGAAACUGGUGGUAAUCCUCCAUAGUGUUCAUAUCAGGCAUCUGAUUUGAACUAAAGAUAUUCGUAUUGAUAUAGGAUUGAUGUGCGCUCCAUUAGUUAGUUGGUGAGGUAACGGCUCACCAAGACUACGAUGGGUAGCUGGCGUGAGAGCGCGACCAGCCACACUGGAACUGAGACACGGUCCAG
rnacentral:rRNA from 1 species